rnacentral:lncRNA from 1 species
CGGCUCACAUUAUUCAUGCUGCAUACUCUGCAUAUUCAUGCUACCUCCUUUUGUUUUUCAAAUAUUACUCACUUCAUCGUCAGUUUUACCUCUACCUGAUGUGGAAGUCACCUGCCAGAGUAUAUGCUGCUCUGCCACACUUAGAACAAAAACAAAUGAAGCCUUAAGCAACUCGGCUUCGCAAAAUCAACCUACAGGGAAUCCACCAGAUCCUCCUGAUCCUCCUAUCGGUGAUAACAAAACAAAGCGAAAUGCUUUUCUAGCCGUAGGACUUAUCGUAUUAGCAGCAACUGUCUACAGGUAGUACCAUAAUCUUCAAAUUAUUUGUUGCAUUAUCAAAAACUUCCUUAGUUUGUAGACUUGUCCAAAAAUUGACAAUGCACUAUAGGUAGAUCAAGUUCAACUUUAC